rnacentral:tRNA from 1 species
GUAUAGCUCAAAUGGGUAGAGCGUUGGGGUUACACCCCAAAGGUUGCGGAUUCAAAUCCCGCACA